rnacentral:rRNA from 1 species
GACGAACGCUGGCGGCGUGCUUAACACAUGCAAGUCGAACGGAAAGGCCCUGCUUUUGUGGGGUGCUCGAGUGGCGAACGGGUGAGUAACACGUGAGUAACCUGCCCUUGACUUUGGGAUAACUUCAGGAAACUGGGGCUAAUACCGGAUAGGAGCUCCUGCUGCAUGGUGGGGGUUGGAAGGUUUCGGCGGUUGGGGAUGGGCUCGCGGCUUAUCAGCUUGUUGGUGGGGUAGUGGCUUACCAAGGCUUUGACGGGUAGCCGGCCUGAGAGGGUGACCGGCCACAUUGGGACUGAGAUACGGCCCAGACUCCUACGGGAGGCAGCGGUGGGGAAUAUUGCACAAUGGGCGGAAGCCUGAUGCAGCAACGCCGCGUGCGGGAUGACGGCCUUCGGGUUGUAAACCGCUUUCGCCUGUGACGAAGCGUGAGUGACGGUAAUGGGUAAAGAAGCACCGGCUAACUACGUG